AUGUGACCGUGCCUCUCACCCUUCCAUAUCUAGUCUCUGAGAAAAAUGAAGACUGGAUUCCAUGAAGGGAUGUGAGGCCUGGAAACUGGAGCUUUA
ensembl:miRNA Mir336 microRNA 336